CCUACGGGAGGCAGCAGUGGGGGAUAUUGCACAAUGGGGGGAACCCUGAUGCAGCGACGCCGCGUGAGUGAAGAAGCGCCUCGGCGCGUAAAGCCCUAUCAGCAGGGAAGAAAAUGACGGUACCUGAAUAAGAAGCCCCGGCUAACUACGUGCCAGCAGCCGCGGUAAUACGUAGGGGGCAAGCGUUAUCCGGAUUUACUGGGUGUAAAGGGAGCGCAGACGGCGAUGCAAGACAGAAGUGAAAGCCCAGGGCCCAACCCCGGGACUGCUUUUGGAACUGCGUGGCUGGAGUGCAGGAGGGGCAAGCGGAAUUCCUGGUGUAGCGGUGAAAUGCGUAGAUAUCAGGAGGAACACCAGUGGCGAAGGCGGCCUGCUGGACUGCAACUGACGUUGAGGCCCGAAAGCGUGGGGAGCAAACAGGAUUAGAUACCCUUGUAGUC
rnacentral:rRNA from 1 species